AGUGAACGCUGGCGGUAGGCCUAACACAUGCAAGUCGAGCGGCAGCACAGUAAGAGCUUGCUCUUACGGGUGGCGAGUGGCGGACGGGUGAGGAAUACAUCGGAAUCUACUUUUUCGUGGGGGAUAACGUAGGGAAACUUACGCUAAUACCGCAUACGACCUACGGGUGAAAGCAGGGGAUCUUCGGACCCUGCGCGAUUGAAUGAGCCGAUGUCGGAUUAGCUAGUUGGCGGGGUAAAGGCCCACCAAGGCGACGAUCCGUAGCUGGUCUGAGAGGAUGAUCAGCCACACUGGAACUGAGACACGGUCCAGACCCCUACGGGAGGCAGCAGUGGGGAAUAUUGGACAAUGGGCGCAAGCCUGAUCCAGCCAUACCGCGUGGGUGAAGAAGGCCUUCGGGUUGUAAAGCCCUUUUGUUGGGAAAGAAAAGCAGCAGGUUAAUACCCCGCUGUUCUGACGGUACCCAAAGAAUAAGCACCGGCUAACUUCGUG
rnacentral:rRNA from 1 species